CGGAGUGGAGCCAGGUCCUGCAUUGAGAGCCCACAUGUCCUUGUUGGCCAGCAUCACUCCCUUCCCCUCUCUCUUUCUAGAACUCUGAUGGGCUUCAGUCAUAACUUGGACAAAGAUCUGCAGUGGGCUGCCAGCUCACUGUCACCCUCUGAUCCUUCAGCCUCAGCGGCUUUGCUGUGUUCAUGUGCACAUGCUCUAUCCAGCUCUGCUCACGUCCAUAUGCAUGCCUUUCAGAUCAUGUUUUAAAACCUUCCACGUCUGGCGUUGGGAACGCAGCCGCGGCUUGGUAGUGGAUAGCAAGAGGCAAAGGUCAGACCGGAGGCUGCGCAAAUAUUGUGUGCUGGAUUUAUUGUUUUAAUUAAGAGUGUGGCAGUUCAUCAUAAACUGUUUAUGGCGUUUCUGCACAGUGCAGCAUUUUGAAAUCAGCUGUUUUAAUGAAAACAUAAUGUCAUAUCUGUCAAAGUUCUAAAUAUUUUGGAAGUGAAAUAUGGAAACAAGAACUUUAAUUCUAGGUUUACUGAGAUUAGCUCAUUGAAUUGCUUUUAAAUCCCUUAAGAGGGUCACAUCAUGGGGACUGCACGGUUUCUUGUAGGUGACUGGGAAAAAAAAUUCCAGGAGGUUCUCAAGCUGGUUAUUUAAUAGUGAAAAUACAAGCUGAAGGUUAAUGUAUCGAAAAACAAAACCAUUAUGGUUGGCGUUGGGGUUUUAGAUUAAAGAGGUAAUAACGGGUGGGCAGGGGCCUCGGUGCCCAGUUGUUUGGGGAGGCCUAAUUGUGCCGAGAGGGAGCCGAAAGCCUUUGAGGGCAGGAGAGAAAUAGAUCCACCCUGGUCCCUUUCCAGUUGUGAAGCUUCCACAUCGCCGUGUUAGCAACUAAUUAUUUAUAAUGACCUCAAAGAUGAUGGCGUUUCAUGGACUUUUCAGGCUGAGCAGUUUGCA
rnacentral:lncRNA from 1 species